rnacentral:rRNA from 1 species
CUACGGGCGGCAGCAGUGGGGAAUAUUGGACAAUGGGGGAAACCCUGAUCCAGCAAUGCCGCGUGUGUGAAGAAGGCCUGCGGGUUGUAAAGCACUUUCGGUUGGGAGGACUGCUUCUAGCACUAAUAUUGUUGGAAGUUGACGUUACCUUCAGAAGAAGCACCGGCUAACUCCGUGCCAGCAGCCGCGGUAAUACGGAGGGUGCAAGCGUUAAUCGGAAUUACUGGGCGUAAAGCGCGCGUAGGCGGCUAGAUCAGUCGGGUGUGAAAGCCCCGGGCUUAACCUGGGAACUGCAUCCGAUACUGUCUAGCUUGAGUACAGGAGAGGAGAGUGGAAUUCCACAUGUAGCGGUGAAAUGCGUAGAUAUGUGGAGGAACAACACUCGGGAAGGCAUCGGCCUCGCCUGAUGUUGAUGCGGAGGUGCGUACGCGUGGGGAGCAACCAGGAUUAGAUACCCUAGUAGUC